AGUUUCUGUCAUUCCUGCGGCCAAGAGCCACAAGGUAAGGGACCCCAGGGCCAUGGAACUGGGGGAGGGCUUGGGGAUGCCAAAAAGGUGCCUUAUUUUGGGAUAAAUGCACUUGGACCUCUGGAAAGCAAGAGGCCCCUGGUCCCUGAGGAUGUUAAAACUUAAAUAUUAAAAAAAAUAAAUAAAUAGUUCCCAAAUGACAACAAGCCACAGAAUGAAGGCUCCUGUCUAAUCUAGUUAGGAGACAUCACCCUCCCAGGGAAGAAUCCAGCAAACUCCAGCAUGCCGUAUUGGGGGGAGGGAGGACUGUGAAUAUCAACAUUGAGUGGGGUGCGGUGGGAUCAGCUGGCAGCUACUGAGAACUCGACAGGCAAGAAGGAAGCUGGCACCAAAGAGCAGGCCAGGCCUCUCUAGGACCUGCUUGAGGCUCCUUUAGCAGCCUCCGGGACUCAAAGGUAUAAAAUGCUAGUCAUGAGUUUGUCAAAAGAUCUCUCGGGCAGAGCUCUGCAUCUUCUGGCCUCUGAACAGUUCCUCUCCGUGUAGUAGGCUGAGAGCAGGGCACGAACUCCAAACUUCUGAGAAAACUUUGACAGCCCCAGACGGGCUGUUAACAAGCAGCAAAGGGGUUGAAAAUAGCCCUCCGAGAUACGCCUAAGGAAGUGGGGACCUCCAGACGGGAUUGUUGGAGCAACUCCGGCCUGAGCAUGACAGCACAAGGACAACACAGGUGUUAAGGCCACCGCUCUCUAAGGAGUCCCUCUGGGGGCUUAGAUAAAAGUCUGCACAGCCUUCCAGGUCCUCUGCGGAAGGAGGAACAAUGCUGCCAUGGGGCGAGCUUGUGCUUGGCUUGCCGUGGUGGCUUACUAAGGACCUGGGAUGAAAGAGGCACAGAUGCAACAGCAGAGAUCAGAGAAGCAGCUGUAGAGCUCUAGCCCAUUCCAAGUGGCCCGGCCUCUCUAGGCUCCGGGAAAGCAGAACUCGGGACCAACCAGAUACUGAGAGAACUGGAUCCUGCAGCCCUUAACACUGUCCUUGGCCUUUGUAAAUAAAAGAGCCGGUUUAUUUUUCAUUA
rnacentral:lncRNA from 1 species